UUUUUGAUUUGUGUGAGCAAAACCGGCGCCU
rnacentral:piRNA from 1 species